AGCUCCAAUAGUGUAUAUUAAAGUUGCUGCGGUUAAAAUGCUCGUAGUUUAAUUUCUGCCGAGGCCGAUCGGUCCACCCACUGGGUGAGUUAUUGAUCGACUUCUGCAUAUUAACGAAUAAUGCCGUUGAACUUGAUUGUGAUGUGUGCCCUGUUCGUGUAAAUUACUUUGAGGAAAUUAGAGUGUUUCGAGCAUGCAUAUGCAUCGAGCACAUUAGCAUGGGAUGACGUACACUGAUUGCUGCUGUAUUUGUUUGGUCUUUAUGGCUGCGAUAAUUGAUGAUAGGGAUAAUUGGUGGCAUUCGCAUUUAAUAGUCAGAGGUGAAAUUCUUGGAUUUGUUAAAGACGAGCUGCUGCGAAAGCACUUGCCAAUUAUGUUU
rnacentral:rRNA from 1 species